AUUGAACGCUGGCGGAAUGCUUUACACAUGCAAGUCGAACGGUAGAGGGGGCAACCCCUUGAGAGUGGCGAACGGGUGAGUAAUAUAUCGGAACGUGCCCAGUCGUGGGGAUAACGUAGCGAAAGUUACGCUAAUACCGCAUACGAUCUAAGGAUGAAAGCGGGGGAUCGCAAGACCUCGCGCGAUUGGAGCGGCCGAUAUCAGAUUAGGUAGUUGGUGAGGUAAAGGCUCACCAAGCCAACGAUCUGUAGCUGGUCUGAGAGGACGACCAGCCACACUGGAACUGAGACACGGUCCAGACUCCUACGGGAGGCAGCAGUGGGGAAUUUUGGACAAUGGACGCAAGUCUGAUCCAGCCAUUCCGCGUGCAGGAUGAAGGCCCUCGGGUUGUAAACUGCUUUUGUACGGAACGAAAGGUUUGUCUUAAUACGAGGAGCUCAUGACGGUACCGUAAGAAUAAGCACCGGCUAACUACGUGCCAGCAGCCGCGGUAAAGUGACU
rnacentral:rRNA from 1 species